rnacentral:tRNA from 1 species
GUUAGGGUGGCAGAGCAGGUUUAUGCAC